rnacentral:rRNA from 53 species
CCUGGCGGCCGUAGCGCGGUGGUCCCACCUGACCCCAUGCCGAACUCAGAAGUGAAACGCCGUAGCGCCGAUGGUAGUGUGGGGUUUCCCCAUGCGAGAGUAGGGAACUGCCAGGC